CUCACUAAAUAUGUGAUCAGAAACAAUGUCGUAAUCAAUCAUAAAACUUAUGAAUUUUGGAAUGCAUGUAAAUUUGUCACUUACCUAGUUCUCCCAAAGAUUUGUUGGACUGACACUCAUGUAAACAGACGGAGGAAUAUAGAAGAUAAUUGAAUGUAUUUUUAAUUUUUUUUCCAGAGUCUUGUAUAAAAAUUCAAAGAUCCAAUGUGUCUGAGGUUGAGGAAUGCAUUGCAGUAACACUUAAGCAUGCACCAGCUCAAAAAGAUGGACCAAGAUAUAAAAAGAGACCUGAAACCAACACAAGACCAGCUGAUCAGAGGGCAGAAAACCAAAAAUUGGAAUGACAUGUAUACAACCAACACAAGACUAAAAUUUGGAAUAAAAAUAAAAAAAAUUCAGAAACAUAU